GGAGCACCGGACCGGCGAGGAUUACGCUUAACAGGACAGGGGAGUACUACUUUAUUUGUGGUAUCCCUGGUCACUGUUCUGCCGGCCAGAAGCUAAACGUGGAAGUACGAAAUGGUAACACCACCGGCGGUGUUACUCCGUCGACGCCUGUAACUCCAACCACCACCACUUAUACGGUGGGUGACUCCACUGGUUGGCGAGUCCCUACUAAUAAUGAUGAUUUUUAUGAGGAUUGGGCUGAUAAUAAACACUUCGUUGUCGGAGAUGUUUUAGGUCAGUUUCUUAAGUCAACAUUUGAAUCGAAAUUUGAUGCUUUUUUUAUCCAACUGUUUGAUUUUUUUCUUUUCUUUUUGCAGUGUUUAAUUUUACGACCGGACAGCAUAAUGUUGCAGAGGUGACGGAAGAUGCUUACGAUGACUGCAACACUGCAAAUGCCAUAUCUACUUUGACCACCGGUCCGGCAAGGAUUACCCUUAACAAGACCGGUGACCAUUACUUCAUUUGCAGUGUCCCCGGUCAUUGUUCCGCCGGCCAAAAGCUCAAGGUUGAAGUUCGAACUGGUAACACCACCGGUGGCGUUGCUCCGUCGCCGCCUGUAACUCCAAGCACCACCACUUUUACAGUGGGUGACUCUACUGGUUGGCGUGUCCCUACCAAUGAUGAUUUUUAUGAGGAUUGGGCUGAUCAUAAACACUUCGUUGUUGGGGAUGUUUUAGGUCAGCUUUUAAAUUUAAAAAUUUUGAUAUUAAUUAUGAUAUGUAAAUGUUUUUUGAUCUAACUGUUUGAUUUUUUCUUCUUUUCUUGCAGUGUUUAAUUUUACGACCGGACAGCAUAAUGUUGCAGAAGUGACGGAAGAUGCUUACGAUGACUGCAACACUGCAAAUGCCAUAUCUACUUUGACCACCGGUCCGGCAAGGAUUACCCUUAACAAGACCGGUGACCAUUACUUCAUUUGCAGUGUCCCCGGUCAUUGUUCAGCCGGCCAAAAGCUCAAGGUUGAAGUUCGAACUGGUAACACCACCGGUGGCGUUGCUCCGUCGCCGCCUGUAACUCCAAGCACCACCACUUUUACGGUGGGUGACUCUACCGGUUGGCGUGUCCCUACCAAUAAUGAUGAUUUUUAUGAGGAUUGGGCUGAUCAUAAAGACUUCGUUGUUGGGGAUGUU
rnacentral:lncRNA from 1 species